CACGUGUCCAUGGAGUCAGUCGGCAUGAGCUACGUGCUCACGUCAGCUCAGUGCGAGCUGGAGCUCUCAGAACAGCACAAAGGGAUGAUCAACGCUGCUGCCUUCAUUGGUAUAGUAUCGACGUCAUUCCUAUGGGGCUACCUCGGCGACCGUGUUGGGCGGCGAGCAGUCAUGCUACCAGCCAUGUUAGCAUCUGCUAUAUUUUCGGUAGCCUCCGCGUUCGCUAGUGAUGUGUGGACGUUGUUCGUGCUCAGGAUCCUGACAGGAUGUUUUGUAUCAGCCUCCAGUGCCACGGUGUACGCGUACCUGGGCGAGAUGCACGCCAACUCUCGGCGGGCGGCCGCCAUCGCCUGGGGCUCAGUGUUCAUCUCAUUCUCCUUCAUUAUCUUACCUGGUCUAGCCUGGGUAAUAAUCCCCGGCAAAUGGUCCUUCCAUCUCCUCAGCAUCAGGAUAAGCUCCUGGCGUGCGUUCAUGUGGUCCUGGUGCGUCCCAGGGCUGGCUGCGGCAGGGAUCCUGUCUUUACUGCCUGAGAGUCCACGGUUCAUUCUGGCGUCUAAAGGCCCGGAGGCUGCGCUGCCUGUCCUGGCUAAGAUGUACUCUUGGAAUCAUGGAACUGGAGCUGAUAAUUAUCCGGUAGAGAAAAUCACCACCAUUGGCGACGCAGAGGCGUUCAAGGGCGGAUUCGCUGGUGCUCUGAAGAACUUUACGCACAUCUUCCGGCCGCCGCUGCUGCGCUGUGUGUUUAUAUCGCACAUAUCGAUGUUCGCCGUGUUUAUGCUAGCGAGCGGCCUCUAUGUGUGGGUGCCCGAAGUUAUUAACAACAUCCUUCAAAACGACAGUGAAAGGAGCAUCUCUAUCUGCGAGAUCAUUACGCAGAAGGCGCUUAAUAAAACCCAAGCCCUGGCGUCGCAUGUAGAAGCGGUCUGCAACCCCAACAUAUCGGUGGGGGUGUUUCCGAUCUCCAUGGCCAUGGGAGCCGUGUUCGCCAUCACAUACCUCGCUAUUGGUGUUUUCAUCAAUAAAGUAGGGAAGAAAACUCUGUACAAUGGCAUCAUGUUCAUAUGCGGCCUAGCGACGAUAGCGGCGGCCUAUGUGCCGCAAGGGGGCGCUGCUACCGGCCUACUCAUCCUAGCAUUAUGCGCAGGCUGCGGGGCAUCCAUAUUAGCCGCCAUAGCUGUUGACGUGUUCCCUACAUCACUAAGAGCUAUGGCUAUGUGCGUGAUGUACAUGGUGGGGCGACUGGGCGCCGCCGUGGGGGCCUAUUUGCUGGGAGCUACACUGCACACGCACUGCGAGCUAGCUUUCACUGCUAUGGGGGCUUUUAGUGCUGGGUCAACACUACUUAUGCUCUUCUGGCCCAACCCUCAAGCGGUUCGAGACGAAAUGGAAGAAAAGGGUCUCUCAUACUAACCUACCUAGUUGUAGUACCAUCUAACAGUGUAAACUGACUAUUUUCGACCUUAUUUUAAAGACUUUAAGGUCCAUCUAUGAUCAGUUAUAAGUGUCAGUGAUUAUAAUAUAAUGUUCCAAUUAGAAAAUAUGUGCCUCCGUGAGACUGAAUGAUAGAAUGAUUACAAUUUUGUAUUUAUACGUUUUGCAUUUUAAUAAAACUUUAAUAGAAAAAAAA